UACAGAGGUCUCAAGCGUUGUUCGGAUUCAUUGGGCGUAAAGGGUGCGUAGGCGGUUGGGUAAGUCGGGUGUGAAAACUCCAGGCUCAACUUGGAGACGCCACCCGAUACUGCUCUGACUUGAGUUCGGUAGGGGAGUGGGGAAUUCCUGGUGUAGCGGUGAAAUGCGCAGAUAUCAGGAGGAACACCGGUGGCGAAGGCGCCACUCUGGGCCGAAACUGACGCUGAGGAGCGAAAGCGUGGGUAGCAAACAGG
rnacentral:rRNA from 1 species